rnacentral:rRNA from 1 species
AACGAACGCUGGCGGCAGGCCUAACACAUGCAAGUCGAGCGCGCCUUCGGGUGAGCGGCGGACGGGUGAGUAACACGUGGGAAUAUGCCUUUCGGUGCGGAAUAGUCUUGGGAAACUGAGGGUAAUACCGCAUACGCCCCUUGGGGGAAAGAUUUAUCGCCGAAAGAUUAGCCCGCGUUGGAUUAGGUAGUUGGUGGGGUAAUGGCCUACCAAGCCGACGAUCCAUAGCUGGUUUGAGAGGAUGAUCAGCCACACUGGGACUGAGACACGGCCCAGACUCCUACGGGAGGCAGCAGUGGGGAAUCUUAGACAAUGGGGGCAACCCUGAUCUAGCCAUGCCGCGUGAGUGAUGAAGGCCUUAGGGUUGUAAAGCUCUUUCAGCUGGGAAGAUAAUGACGGUACCAGCAGAAGAAGCCCCGGCUAACUCCGUGCCAGCCGCCGCAGUAA